UGGGCCCAGGGCUGUGCUGGAGA
rnacentral:miRNA from 1 species